CUUUUAUAAGAACCUUUUUCCCAGCAUGCCUUUCAGGGGCUGCUCCUUUAAAUAUGGCAGAGCCCAUCAGCUGCAAGCCUUAAAGUGAGUGUUUUGUAAAUAGGUGUGUGGCCCCUCUAGCCUAGCUGGCUACUGGCUUGGGGAAGGACUUGGAGCCAGACUGUAACAGAAGAGCCAAGCGGUGGUACAGGGAGAAAGCAGCAAGUAAGGCUGCCAUUGCCAUCAGGAGCAGUGUGAGUUGGGCACGAGGAAGCAAUGAAGUCCCAGAAUCAGGAAGAGGGUGGCUAGAUUUCACCAGGUCAGAACAAUUCCUUAAAGUGAUAACUCAUACUUGCCAAAUCCAGUGGACCUGAGAAUGCCAAGACAGCUGGGCUGGAGAGAGAGAAGAAAGACGUGUUAAACUAUUUAAAGAUUUAUUAUCAUAGGAUUGGCUACAAGUGAUGUGUUUGAGAGAUCUGGGGGUGCAACUGACCUGGGUGAGCGUAGUGCUUGGAGAAGCUGCUAUAUUGCAAGCCCUGGAGACAGAACCAUUACAGCACAAGCAGCAGCCUCAACCCUAUCCUGGGACAACCAACUCAAAGGCUGACCGGGAAGCUCUGUCUUCAUGGCCCCAUUCAGUCCCUGGCCUCAUCUCCACUAGAAAUGCUUGCCAAGACAGCUAUGCUGGUAUAGCUCUACAGCCAACCCUGCUAGUGGAGAGGUUCUUUGGCCGUUAUAGGCUAUACCAGUUCCCAAAUGAAAUAAGCCAUCCUGGCUUUUGCUAUAUAACAUUAUCUACACUGGGGCAUUUGCUGGCACAGCGACAUUGGUUAGGGAUGUGAUUUUUAUUUCAUCCUCCUGCCAUAAAGCUUUUAAACAUACACCAGGUCUCAGACUGAGGACAGGGGUUCCAAUUCAUGCCCAUUGUGGUGGUAGGUUUUAAUGAUGGGGAUCCCUGUCUACUAGGAACUGGACCAAGACCAACUCAGUUCACAGAAAAUACCAAAUGGCAACAACUUUUGGUCAUUCCUGAUCUGGGCUGGAUUCAGACCUGUGCCCGGUCUGCAGAUGGAGCCCUUCACAAUGACUGUUCAGUUACAAAGUAAAAACUGUUGCAGAGAUGCAUGAGGGGCUUAAAACGUUACUCUCUGAUAGCCAUUUUGAAUUGACUGUGACAUGUUCCCUUGCUGGGAGAGGAAGGAUUGCAUGCAGUGGUUGGAGCACUGGCCUAGGAGGUGGAAAAUCAGGGAUCAAUUCCCUGUGCUGCCAGGACCCCCUGUGUGACCUUGGGCAAGACACGUAGCCUCUCUGGUUCAGCUCCCCGUCUGUAAAAAUGGGGGUCCCAGAGAGGAGACAGGCACUACUGGGAUAAAACUGCCCAUUGAAUUGUCAUGAAAUGAUACCCCCAGGACCAAGUCCAUCAGGAGAUACAGAUGUUCCCUUAUUGCGAAUCAGCAGCAGAGGAGACUGAAAUCUCCAUUGCAUUUCAUGGACUCUGCCAUGGGCAAUUUCAUGUAUGCAGCCUUAGUGGUAGCCCCUUUCUUAGUGCCUGAUAGUCAGCUGAGAACCUGCAGUGUGUGUGAUCUGUACAAGAAAUAAGCAAAUAUUGCUGCUCAGAUCAUCGUACCAAGUUUCUCCAGUGGAUCUUUACUACAAUCCAAGAAUUCAGACCUGCAUUUUCUUUGAAGCAAAGAGAUGUAGCAGUUCCUUCCAAAUCAAUCUGGACAUCAAGUCAUCUCUCGUCAAUGCUCCUUUCUGUCUGUAAACAAACAUCAAGGUGAUCGUCUUUACAUGUCCCCAGAUGCAUUUGCUGACAGUUCAGUGACUCUCCUCUAGGGUGCUUCUCCUCCCCCCCCCCCCCCUUGGGGAGUAAAAUAAGCUAAAAUAGCAUGAAAAGAGAUUAGAUAACCCUCUGGGCUUAUCUCUUAAGAAUCAGGAGAAAUAACAAAGGGAUGGAAGAUUAAAAACAGGUGAUCCUGUCAUCGCAUUACAUGUCAAAAAAUCAUCAUUUUUCAUGACAAAGCAGCACUAACCAGCAAGCUUCUUGUCACAGCUGUCUAAAAAUGAAUAAUCUGAGCUCUGCCACACAUAGGAUUGUAAGAAUUAUUGUGACUAAAUGUUUACACUGUCUUAUUAUGAGAAGAUCCCAGAGAAGAAGGGCCCAUAAGGCAUCCCUCACUCAGAAUGGAUCUUCCAUAUGGAGAUGGACUGGCUGGCGCAGGUACAUGCUCCUCUCAGAAGUAUGAACAUGAGAAAAACAAGGAUUAUGGUUUUUAAACCCAAUCUCUUCACUAAAGGGAAAAGGGCCAGGCAUGAGGGAUAGGCAGCUGGUCUGUCUCUAAUCAUUCUGUGAUGUUUAAAGUCUCUCUCUGAGGCCCGUCAUCACAAUUGAUUUCAAUCCGUAAGACAGCAGCAUUCAAAUGACAUAAGGGCAAGAUUGUUCAGGAAUAUCUUUAAAUGCAUUAAAAGUUUGUGAUCGCUCAGAUACUACAGUGAUGGGGACCAGAUCUGGGGAACAGCUGGAUUAGAUGGAAGAGGAAGACUCUACCAAUCCAUGUUUCUUCCCAGGGGUACUAGCAAGCAUACCCUACCACAUUGUACAGUGUAGAACUCACUGCAGUCAGUUUAAUAUACUUACCCACAUUUUGAUUAGUAAAUGUUGGUUCAAAACAUAAAUUUGAUGAUUUUAUUUCUGAAUCUCAACUUCAA